rnacentral:rRNA from 1 species
GUGGGGGAUAUUGCACAAUGGGGGAAACCCUGAUGCAGCGACGCCGCGUGAGUGAAGAAGUAUUUCGGUAUGUAAAGCUCUAUCAGCAGGGACGAAAAUGACGGUACCUGAGUAAGAAGCCCCGGCUAACUACGUGCCAGCAGCCGCGGUAAUACGUAGGGGGCAAGCGUUAUCCGGAUUUACUGGGUGUAAAGGGAGCGUAGACGGUUAAGCAAGUCUGGAGUGAAAGGCGGGGGCUCAACCCCCGGACUGCUCUGGAAACUGUGUAACUAGAGUGCAGGAGGGGUAAGUGGAAUUCCUAGUGUAGCGGUGAAAUGCGUAGAUAUUAGGAGGAACACCAGUGGCGAAGGCGGCUUACUGGACUGUAACUGACGUUGAGGCUCGAAAGCGUGGGGAGCAAACAGG